rnacentral:rRNA from 1 species
AGUGAACGCUGGCGGCAGGCCUAAUACAUGCAAGUCGAGCGACCGCACAGUAAGCGCUCGCCCCUACGGGUGGCGAGUGACGGACGAGUGAGGCAUAGAUAGCCUACUUCUUUUUCGUGGGGGACAACGUGGGGCAAGUUCUGAUACUACCGAAUAUGACGAACGGGAGAAAGCAAGAGAUAUUCGGACCUUGCGCGUUUGAUUGAGCCGGAGUCGGAUUAGCUAGUUGGCGGGGUAAAGGCCCACCAAGGCGACGAUCCGUAGCUGGUCUGAGAGGAUGAUCAGCCACACUGGAACUGAGACACGGUCCAGACUCCUACGGGAGGCAGCAGUGGGGAAUAUUGCACAAUGGGCGCAAGCCUGAUCCAGCCAUACCGCGUGAGUGAAGAAGGUCUUCGGGUUGUAAAGCCCUUUUGUUGGGAAAGAAAAGCAGCAGGUGAAUACCCCGCUGUUUUGACGGUACCCAAAGAGUAAGCACCGGCUAACUUCGUG